rnacentral:tRNA from 1 species
GCCUGGCUGGCUCAGUUGAAAGAGUAUGUGACUUUUAACCUCUAGGUCAUGAGUUUGAGCCCCAUGCUGGGUA